rnacentral:rRNA from 1 species
UACGGAGGGUGCAAGCGUUAUCCGGAUUUACUGGGUUUAAAGGGUGCGUAGGUGGGUCUGUAAGUCAGUGGUGAAAUCUUCAAGCUCAACUUGGAAACUGCCAUUGAUACUAUAGGUCUUGAAUUAUCUGGAGGUGAGCGGAAUAUGUCAUGUAGCGGUGAAAUGCUUAGAUAUGACAUAGAACACCAAUUGCGAAGGCAGCUCACUACGGAUGUAUUGACACUGAGGCACGAAAGCGUGGGGAUCAAACAGG